GGUUCCAUGGUGUAAUGGUUAGCACUCUGGACUCUGAAUCCAGCGAUCCGAGUUUUCGAACCUUAAGUUCAAAUCCCGGUGGUACCU